UGUUACUUAAAAUCUCUGAGCCUCUACAACCGUAAAUAGGAAGAGUGAGCCUGCAGUGAAGGUAAACGUGAUGCCUAACUUCGACGAUUUCAUGUAAAUCGCCCAGCAUGAUGUUUGGUGUAUAGUUGGUGCUCAGUAUUACUCCCUCUCCCCCUCCCUCUUUUCCCUCCUUAACUCAAGUUAGCUCUUUGGUACCUUACAUAUCUCACUUCAUUUCCCAAGGAAAC
rnacentral:lncRNA from 10 species